AACCAAGAAAGUUAAGUCAUAUUUAUAACGGUAAAAAGACAGUUAAAUAAUUUUAUAAAGUUUAUUUAAUGUUUAUAGAAAGGUAGAAUUUGAAUAUAAACACAUAAUUUUAUUAUAACUUAUGUAUUGAAGCUGUGAUAGCCUUGAGGGAAACUGGGAUUAGAUACCCCAUUAUUCUUGGUCGCAAAUUAAGUAUAUUUACCAGAGUACUAUGAACCAUAAAAGUUUAAAACUCAAAGAGCUUGGCGGUGUUUUAGACCUUUCAGGGGAACCUGUCUCAUAAUCGACAAUCCACGCUAUACCUAACCUUUUUUUGCUCUCAGUUUGUAUACCGUCGUCGUCAGGUAACUUUUAAAAAUUUAAAAGUUAGCAUUAAAAACUAUGUAAGUUUAAACGUCAGAUCAAGGUGCAGCCUAUAUAAAGGUGAGGAUGGGUUACAAUUAUUAAAUUAUAAUUACGAACUAAUUAUUUGAAUGAAUAAUAAUAAAGGAGGACUUGAAAGUAAAUUGAAUUAUAUAGAUAUUKWGAAUARRGCUCWGAAACGU
rnacentral:rRNA from 1 species